rnacentral:rRNA from 1 species
CCUACGGGAGGCAGCAGUGAGGAAUAUUGGUCAAUGGGCCGGAGCCUGAACCAGCCAAGUCGCGUGAGGGAAGACGGUCCUAUGGAUUGUAAACCUCUUUAGGCGGGGAGCAAUGCCGGGCACGUGUGCCCGGAGGGAGAGUACGCGCAGAAUAAGCAUCGGCAAACUCCGUGCCAGCAGCCGGGGUAAGACGGAGGAUGGGGGCGUUAUCUGGUGGUAUUGGGUUGAAGGGGUGCGUUGGCGGAUUUUUAGGUCAGCGUGAAAUUGUCGGGGCUCAACCCGGGGCGGCCGUUGAAACUGGUGAUCUUGAGUGGGCGAGAGGUAUGCGGAAUGCGUGGUGUAGCAGUGAAAUGCAUAGAUAUCACGCAGAACUCCGAUUGCGAAGGCAGCAUACCGGCGCCCGACUGACGCUGAGGCACGAAAGCGUGGGGAUCGAACAGGAUUAGAUACCCCUGUAGUC